GCGUCUCUUGUAAAGGCUUACAUACAUUGCCUUGUCAUACACGCAAAUACCAUUUAAGUAAGAUUUAUAAAGUUUGAGCUGGAAGCACCCGUGGGUAUCUCCAUUGGCGUCUGGAAACACACCUGCAUAAAAAUCCUAAACCAACAACAAAGAUAACUGGGUCGGAAAUGGGGUCCAGCAAAAGUUGGCAUUAUGCAAUAGACCAAGAGAUGUUGAAUCGAUGAUUCGAGUAAACUUCAAGGAUGUGUUUGGAUGUCCAUUCUACAUUUUUUCUGAAGUUCUGACCAAGCAUUACGAUCCAGAAGCAGAUAUUUCGAGCGCAGGCGUGAUGGUUUAUGUUUUACUCUGGCUCAGCUCCGUUUUGGGAGGUAAGUUUCACAAAGUUUUAUAUGUCUUUGGAUGUUUCUCAUGUGUGUUACUAAUCUAAACAUAAACAGAAGAAGAAAUCUUUCAAUGUCAGGUUUGAUUUGAGUCUGCUGGUGCAUCAAGGUUUGUGAUUAGGGGUAGAGAUAUUAUGUCAAGACUGUAGCUAAAACUUUGACAGGAAAAGAACAGCUUUGGUGAAGAUGGCUAAAAUCUGAAAAGCUAUGACCUUAUGAUUGAGACUUGUAUGAACCGUCAUAACCCAGACAUGUAGAUGAGACUGAGAUACCCAAGGAAGAGUCUGAGGAGCAAGAGUAUUUUGAUCUCAGUAUCUGUGAUGAGGAGCGUGGGAAAGAUAUUUUCUGUAUACAUGUUAAUGACAAUACAUUUCAUUGGCUGUUUCUGAUUUGAAGUUCUUAUUUUCCUGAGAAUUGAUUUUUUUUAUUUGAUGUAUGCAGCAAAACAACAGUACAAAAUGGCAAAUUUAAACCCGAGGAUACUCAAAAGAUAGCUUCAUAUGAAACAUAUUUGGUGAGAAGUAGCACAAUUUCUCGGAGUUGGGAAGCUAGAACUCGGGUUUAAGAGCAUCUCCAAUGGAAGCUUGACGAUCAUCUACCAUCGUGCCAUAUUCAAAUGGAGUUACAAAACAGAGACGGAAAUUCGCAGAGAGUAUCUGUGGACAUCAUCAUGAGGUGGUAACGAUGAGAGAUCGGCCGGAGAAGAAAUAGCGAGAUUCAAAAUUGUCACGUCAGACAUUGAGGAAGAUAGAGUCGGUAACUUUGGCUGAGCUUAAUUCCUUUGUUUUGAACGCCUCCCCACAGAGUUUUCGCAUACUGCAAUGAGGCUUCUCCUCCUUCACUUGCGUUUCAUGUAAUGAGGAGAACACAGUUGGGGUUGUGAGUCUCCGAUGCAUCUGACUCAGCUGAGUUUGUAGCUUUUGAUACUGUAAUAAGUUAGUUGACAAAUACCAGGGCUGGAGAGGUCUCCCAACAAAUGAACACAGGGUUCCAAGACCCCUGGAGUUCGGCCCCUCUAUAAUGCAUCGAAAUUUUUUUGGGCCGCACCUUCACCUUCCAGUUGAAGGUUUCUCGAUUCAACUUCUCAUCCAAACAGCAGAGUUCAUUUACGAUUGUCACUAGCGCCCAGCCCAACCAAAUUUUGAGAACCAAGUGGCAAUGACAACCUGAUGAUUACAUGCCUGGUCGUGGAGCUGUGAAAAGAAGUUAUCCAUGUUAGAACAUGAGGGACUCAGACAUUAGAAGAAGCACUGCUGAUGGGAAUGGUGAUGGGCAAACAGCUGCUCUAAGUGAACCAAAUGAGUCACCUGUAGCUGACAAGAAUACAUGAGAGGAUGCAGCAGUUCUGGAGGAAGGGCGCUCCACAAAGAAGAAGAGAAACAAAGAGAUUAUUAACAAGUUUGAAGACUGAUUGACUACGAAGAUGCGCCAACAUGAACAUUGCAUUGAAGACUUAAAAAAAAAAAUCACUUUGUAGACAUUUUCCUUAAACCAUGUCAUUGUUUUUAAUAAGUUAAGUUUGUCCAGCUAAUCUAUGUCAAGAAAUAUUUUUUUUAAUACAA